AUGUGUCUGUACUAACAUGCGAAUCCCUGUAAUACUGUGCAUAUACAUGUCAUACAACUAAUGUAAAUGCCAGUCGUUGCAGGAAUUCGCUAAAAGUCAGCUAAAAAUC
rnacentral:pre_miRNA from 13 species